GAGUAGCCGAGUGGACAUGGCAUCUGCCCGGUAAGCGGAACACUGUGGGUUCGAUUCCCAUCCCUGGACACU
rnacentral:tRNA from 1 species